GACGUAGGGUGCAAGCGUUAUCCGGAUUCACUGGGUUUAAAGGGUGCGUAGGUGGGCAAGUAAGUCAGUGGUGAAAUCUCCGGGCUUAACCCGGAAACUGCCAUUGAUACUAUUUGUCUUGAAUACUGUGGAGGUCAGCGGAAUAUGUCAUGUAGCGGUGAAAUGCUUAGAUAUGACAUAGAACACCAAUUGCGAAGGCAGCUCACUAAGCAAAUAUUGACGCUGAGGCACGAAAGCGUGGGGAUCAAACAGG
rnacentral:rRNA from 1 species